GGAAAAAAGGUUUUAUGGAUUUUACUCAAAUAUAAAGAUCUGAAAUGUCUGCAGACUGGUGUGAGGACUGAGGAUGAGGAGCCCAGUGCUGCAUCUUGGAAGUGGUGACAUGGAUGAGACCCUCCAUCUCUCCACCUGGCCUUAUGAGAACCUCUAUCGCUCCAUCUGCCCUUAUUGCCUCAGAUUGUGAAGCGCUUGCAGUAGGAUGUGGUGUUCAGCGCAUGCUUGUAGUUUGAAUAAAGCUUUUCUUUUAUGUGUUGUUGA